UAAAUUUGUGUUUGUGCCAGAGUUUCAGCAGGUUUCACCAAGUCAAAUUUAAGACUUUUAAAGACCAUUAUGAAUGGAAUUUAAGACCUUUAUCCUAACAUCAA